ACGGAAGGCAGCAGUGAGGAAUAUUGGUCAAUGGGCGGAAGCCUGAACCAGCCAAGUCGCGUGAAGGAUGAAGGUAUUAUGUAUUGUAAACUUCUUUAGUCGUAGAGAAAUAAGGUGCUCGUGAGCACUGAUGCUAGUAUACGAGGAAUAAGGAUCGGCUAACUCCGUGCCAGCAGCCGCGGUAAUACGGAGGAUCCGAGCGUUAUCCGGAUUUAUUGGGUUUAAAGGGUGCGCAGGCGGCUUUUUAAGUCAGUGGUCAAAUCGUGGGGCUCAACCCCAUCCCGCCAUUGAUACUGGAGAGCUUGAUUGCGGUCGAGGUUGGCGGAAUUCGUCGUGUAGCGGUGAGAUGCAUAGAUAUGACGAAGAACACCGAUUGCGUAGGCAGCUGACCAGGCCGUAAAUGACGCUCAUGCACGAAAGUGCGGGGAUCGAACAGGAUUAGAUACCCUGGUA
rnacentral:rRNA from 1 species